rnacentral:rRNA from 1 species
GACGAACGCUGGCGGCGUGCCUAACACAUGCAAGUGGAGCGACGGACCAGGCUUCGGCCUGGGGCCAAGCCGCGAACGGGUGAGUAACACGUGGGCAACCUGCCCCGACGACCGGGACGAACCCGACGGAAACGUACGGGCGUAAUACCGGAUGUGCUCGCCUCGCGCAAGCGAGGCGGCGUAAAGGAAGCUUCGGCCUCCGCAUCGGGAGUGGGCCCGGCCGGCCCACUUAGCUUGUCGGUGAGGUAACGGCNCACCGAGGCUGCGAUGGGUAGCUGGUCUGA